AAGGGUUGUGUUUAUUAGGUAUAGAACCAAUACCGCUUGCGGUUUCUGGAUGAUUCAUAAUAAAUGAACGGAGCGCAUGACUUGUGUCGAGCGCUGUAUCAUUCAAGUUUCUGACCUAUCAGGCUUUCGACGGUAGGGUAUUGGACUACCAUGGCUUUGACGGGUGACGGAGAAUUAGGGUUCGGUUCCGGAGAGGGAGCCUGAGAAACGGCUACCACAUCUACGGAUGGCAGCAGGCGCGCAAAUUACCCAAUCCUGACUCAGGGAGGUAGUGACAAGAAAUAACAAAACAGGUGCUUACUGCAUUCUGUAAUUGGAAUGAGUAGAAUGCAAAACUCUUAACGAGCACCCAUUGGAGGGCAAGUCUGGUCCCAGCAGCCGCGGUACUACCAGCUCCAAUAGCGUAUAUUAAAGUUGUUGCGGUUAAAAAGCUCGUAGUUGGAGUUCUGCCAGGUGACGCUCGUCCGCCCAAGUGGUGUGUACAGGGCGUGCAUCUGGCCCUUUCAAGGGGAACGUGUCUGCACUUUACUGUGUGGUGCGAGAUCCUUGACUUUUACUUUGAGGAAAUGAGAGUGUUUCAAGCAGGCUUUUGCCGUGAAUAUGAUAGCAUGGAAUAAUAGCAUAGGACCCCUUUCCAAAGCUGUUGGUUUUUGGAACGAGGUAAUCAGAAUAAGGAUAGUUGGGGGUAUUCGUAUUUAACUGUCAGAGGUGAAAUUCUUGGAUUUUUUAAAGACGAACUAUUGCGAAGGCAUCUGCCCAGGAUGUUUUUGUUGAUCAAGAACGAAAGUUAGGGGAUCGAAGACGAUCAGAUACCGUCCUAGUCUUAACCAUAAACUAUGCCGGCUGGAGAUUGGAGUCGUCAGUUUUGUGACGUCUUCAGCAUCCUGAGAGAAAUCGAAGUCUUUGGGUUCCGGGGGGAGUAUGGUCGCAAGGCUGAAACUUAAAGGAAUUGACGGAAGGGCACCACCAGGCGUGGUGCCUGCGGCUUAAUUUGACCCAACACGGGAAAACUCACCAGGUCCAGACAUAGUUAGGAUUGAUAGAUUGAUAGCUCUUUCUUGAUUCUAUGGUUGGUGGUGCAUGGCCGUUCUUAGUUGGUGGUUUGAAUUGUCUGGUUAAUUCCGUUAACGAACGAGACCUUAACCUGCUAAAUAGCGCCGAGUUGCUUUGGCAACGAAGGUGUCUUCUUAGAGGGACGUCACGUGUCUAACGUGAGGAGGUGUGAGGCAAUAACAGGUCUGUGAUGCCCUUAGAUGUUCUGGGCCGCACGCGCGCUACACUGAUGCAUUCAACGAGUUUUUCCUGGUCCGAGAGGAAUGGGUAACCUUUUGAAAGUGCAUCGUGCUAGGGAUAGACUAUUGCAAUUAUUGGUCUUCAACGAGGAAUUCCUAGUAGACGUAGUUCAUCAGACUGCAUCGAUUACGUCCCUGCCCUUUGUACACACCGCCCGUCGCUCCUACCGAUUGGAUGAUCCGGUGAGCUAUUCGGACCUUCGCUUCGUCGAUUUUCGGCUUUGUGAGGGAAAGUCUCGCGAACCUUAUCAUCUAGAGGAAGGAGAA
rnacentral:rRNA from 1 species